AUGAGGUCGUCCCCAUGGAUGGUGUUCGCGUCGGCAGCGGUUGUGCUGCUCGCCUUGGCCGCCUCGUCGGCGGUGGUGGAUGCGUCGCCACCGUCGAAGUCUUUGGAGGUCGGUUUCUACAAGCACACGUGCCCGCAGGCCGAGGACAUCGUGCGCGACGCCGUCCGCCGCGCUUUCGGCCGGAACCCCGGCCUGGCCGCCGGACUCAUCCGGAUGCACUUCCAUGACUGCUUCGUCAGGGGCUGCGAUGCUUCGGUGCUGAUCAACUCGACGCCGGGGAACACGGCGGAGAGGGACUCGCCGGCGAACAACCCCAGCCUACGUGGCUUCGAGAUCAUCGACGAGGCCAAGGCCGCACUGGAGGCGUCCUGCCCGCGCACCGUCUCCUGCGCCGACGUGCUCGCUUUCGCGGCGCGUGACGGGGCCUACCUUGCUGGCGGCAUCGAGUACGGCGUCCCCGCCGGCCGCCGCGACGGCCGCGUGUCCAUAGCCGACGAGGUGCUCGUCAACAACGUGCCGUUCCCUACCGACGGGGUCGAUGAGCUCGUGGCCAGCUUCAGACGCAAGGGGCUCUCCGCCGAUGACAUGGUCACGCUCUCGGGCGCGCACACCAUCGGCCGCUCCCACUGCUCCUCCUUCACGCAGCGGAUCCAUAACUUCUCCGACGAGGCCGGCCGGACCGACCCGUCCAUCGACAUGUCGUACGCGGCGGAGCUCAGGCAGCAGUGCCCGCCGUCCACAGACAACAUGAGCGACCGCACCACGGUGCCGCUGGACCCGGUGACACCGGGGGAAUUCGACAACCAAUACUUCAAGAACGUACUGGCGCGCAAGGUGCCGCUCAUCUCUGACCAGACGCUGCUUACGAGCCCCUGGACCGCUGGCAUCGUUGCGUUCCACGCCGCCGUGGAGAGGGUGUGGCAGGCCAAGUUUGCUGCGGCCAUGGUCAAGAUGGGCAACGUCGAGGUACUCACCGGCGAUGAAGGGGAGAUCAGGGAGAAGUGCUUCAUCGUCAACCACUACUAG
rnacentral:rRNA from 1 species